rnacentral:rRNA from 1 species
GUAGGUGGCAAGCGUUGUCCGGAAUUAUUGGGCGUAAAGCGCGCGCAGGCGGUCCUUUAAGUCUGAUGUGAAAGCCCACGGCUCAACCGUGGAGGGUCAUUGGAAACUGGAGAACUUGAGUACAGAAGAGGAAAGCGGAAUUCCACGUGUAGCGGUGAAAUGCGUAGAGAUGUGGAGGAACACCAGUGGCGAAGGCGGCUUUCUGGUCUGUAACUGACGCUGAGGCGCGAAAGCGUGGGGAGCAAACAGGAUUAGAUACCCUGGUAGUCCACGCCGUAAACGAUGAGUGCUAAGUGUUAGGGGAUUUCCGCCCCUUAGUGCUGCAGCUAACGCAUUAAGCACUCCGCCUGGGAGUACGGCCGCAAGGCUG